GGGAUGCAAUUCAACACGUAAUAUUCCCUAACACAAUAUUUCCAUAACAGUCUGUAGCGUCUUCUUCAGGCUAAGGGAUUGGGGCCUCAUCUAUCAGAGUUGUAAUAAGGAACAAAGGUUGUUGAAGAAUUGAAUAUAUUACUCCAGCUAUCGUCAACAAACAUGCUUCAACAACAGGAUCCUCACUGUUUGGAAGACAGCCCCUGAGACCCAGAGCAAAUGGGUCAAAGUCUCAGUUACAUCAGUAUAACUACAAAGACAAUAAUUCUUACCUCUCUCACAGGAUCCAGUGAAAAAGGACAUAAAAGAGUAUUUGAAAUCAGCAAGACUGAAGCUCUACAAAGACUGAUAUUUUAAACAUGGCCACUGUGACCUACUUAUAACCACGUGUCAACUUUAACACCGGAUUCCAAAAACAAGGCACAAUGUGAGAUGAAAUGAUAAUCAAAGUGGAUUACUGGAGGUUUGCUUGGAAUCCUGGUCUUCCAUGUGGACAUCGUUUUUUGGGGACAGCAUCUGGGGCUUCCUUCUGCUACCACAACCAUCCUCAAAGUAUAGUCUGGAGACCUCGAACCUCUAUUUGAGCAACAAAGUUGAGAUGUCCCAAUGGAGUCCAGUUGGUGAUUACAUCAUUAGAAGGUGGUUCCCAGCCUGUGGUCCGGUCCCCAAAUGAAUCAAUCGAUUUGGUUGUUCCCAGUUUUUUUCUAUUACAAAUAAAGCUGAAUCAUACAA
ensembl:lncRNA LINC02221 long intergenic non-protein coding RNA 2221